CCUGCCCUUUCUGUGGUGCCCCCCACGAAGCCCCAGGGUUCCCAUCUUUCUCUCCUCCCAGAGCUGCGGCGACAAGAGCUAGUUAACACUACAUUGUGUUUGACUGACAAGGCGCCCAGGGCCCCACACCCUUGAAGGUGCACAUGUCAUCAUCCUAAAGUCAAACCAGUGGCUCCAGCUGGAAGGGAGUGCAGACUGCAGUGUUUCUUGAAAGAUCGGAUGAUAUGGAAACUCUGGGCCCAUCUUCCCCAUGGCAACAGCUAUCUGGAACUGAGGAGUCACACAAGGGCCCGCGGUUCCCCCCUUCUCAGCGUUGCCACCUGCCUGGCCUUCAGUGCGUUAGGUUUGUGACCCCAACUUAAGCAAAAGGAAUGAGUUACAGAUGUCUAUAGACACCCCCGGCAGGGUCCCCAAAUCCUCCCUCUCUGGAGUCAUCCCUGUUGGGAAAACCAAGGCCCCAGUGAACCAGAGGUGCUUGUCCAAAGUCACAGAGCAGGUUACUGGCAAGGUAGGAGACAGCGAGGUGUCCCCUCUCUAGAAUCUACAGACUCUCUGGAGAUGGGACUUGAAGCAUCAAAGCACAGAUCCGGGAGGGCUUUGUGGGUAGGGGUGCCUCAACCCUGCUAUCAUCCUCAUCACAGCCCUGACCGUAGGCACACAACUGUCUCAUUAGACUGAACUCCUUGAUGGCACCCGGGCUCACCUCUGACCCACACCGGGGCAUACAGAAGGUGCUCACUAAUUGCAUGUGAGUGAAUGCACGAAUGAGGUAGUUAUCAGUUCCGACCAGUCAAGGCUACCAAGGGGUAGGGGUAGGUGGAGAUACUUUCUGUGUUGAUGGGCCGGGCCUGUUUCAUGGAGACUAGAGGGGCACCCCUGCAUUGCCAUUUCCGCCUUCUUUACUCCGGCUCCAGGAAGUAUGAAGAAAUAACCCAGAAAGAGGAAGAGCAAAGUCGAAGUUCUUGGAGCCCCUGGGAGGGCUGGCAGCGCCUUCAGCGUCUCCUGUCCCCUCCUGUUCCACACAUGAGAAGACUGCCCCCAACUUGAAGUUAGAGCACUGCUAUUCCAGGCCAAGGGAGAAAUCAGGGCAGGGCCAGGGGGCAGCAUGGGUUGGGGGUGGAGGUGCAGAGAGAGCGCUGGGUGGUUCCUGGGCCCUGGGUUCUAGUUCGAGUCCAGCUACCCACUGACUGUGUAAUCUGGGAUGACUCCCCUGCCUCCAUUUCCUCAUCUGCCCAGUGAGGGUUUGAGCAGAAUUCCCCAAACUCUGACUCACGGCAGGGCCAGAUUUGGGGACUCCGGGCUGCCCGACAGAUGCUGCCUGCCACACCUGGCUUUUCAGGAGGUGGCAGGGGGAAGAGCAGGACCGGAAAACACAACCCCAGUCUGUCUCCUCCUCCCCUGCCUCCCACUGCCCCAUGGCCCUCAACUCUGAUCUCACCUCUCUGGAGGCUGAGGGUGAUGAGAACAGUCUGUUUGGCAGGUCACGGGGAGGGGCGGGCAGAGCUGUGCUCACCAGCUGCAGCCAGGCCUCCGAGCAGCCUCCGUGGGUCCCAUCCCCGAACAUCUCUCUCCUGCCUCCAGGACCCUGGAGACUCUCCAGGACCAGCUGACCACGGGCACAUCCUCAGCUCCGACUCCUGCCCCUGGAAGCCCUGCUCUCUCUCAGCCUGGCCCGGCCCUCUCAAAGCAGAAGGAUCUCUUCCCUCAGAGACCACUGAGUCCAAACCAUCAUUUGCCCAGGGAAAGACACUGACCUUUUCGGCCCCAGCAAAUGAGAAGCACAGCCUAGGAUUCUGACCUCAGGAUGGCCCAUCUACCCAGGUCCCCAAGCCAGAAGGUGGCUCUCCAGAGCCCCUCAAGGCCCUGACACGCACACAGAUGACCCCAUGGCAAAGCCAACUUUGCUCUAGAUGAUUCCAGGGCUCUCCAGAGGAACACAGCCAUCUCCAACCUGCUGUCCCCUUCCUUCCCCUCCGCAUGUACCCAUGCCCAUGACCCAACUACCGAGUCAGCCUGCUUCUGGUCAGUCAGGGGGUCUUGGCCUCUGCUUGGUUCUGACUCCUCAGGCUCCUCUGGUUGGAACUGGAGAUUUAAAAAAGAGCACAGCUUAGCCCAGCUUAUUCUCCAGGAUGCAUCCAUCUGUCCACCUUCCUCUAUCCAUUUCUCAUCUGUCCAUGUAGCAUCCGUCUGACGUCCAGCAUCAGUAGAUCCGUGUAUCCAUCCAACCAUCCAGGGUCUGUCCCUGAUUACUCACCCCUCAUCUAUCCAAUGUCCAUUGUCUAUCACCCACGCGUGUACCUACCCUCCACUGAUCCAUCGUGUGUCCAUUUAUGCAAUGCCUAUGUAUCCCUCUCUCCAUCCAUCAUCCAUCUACCCAUAUAUCCAACAUCUGUCUGUCCACCAUCUAUCAUCCAACAUUUAUCCAUCCAUGCAGCAUCUAUCCAUAUUCCAGCCAACCUUCAUCCAUCUAUCACCUAAGCAACAUCCAUCAUAGAUGCACCAUUCAUUCAUCACUCAGCUAUCCACCCAUCAUCACCAUCUGUCAUCCAUCUAACAGGUGUCUGUCAUUCAUUCAACAUGCAUCAUUUUUUUUUUAAGAAGAUGGGGUUUCACCAUGUUGGUCAGGCUGAUCUUGAACUCCUGACCUCAGGUGAUCCACCCGCCUUGGCCUCCAAAGUGCGUGGAUUACAGGUGUGAGCCACCGCGUCCGGCCCCAACCUGCAUCAUUGAUCCAUCACCUGUUCACACAUUCAUCCUCCAUCUGUUGUCCACCCACUGACCCCUCUGUCCUCCAUCUUGCAUGUAUCCAAUGAGCUGCCCCCCCCUCUUUAUUUCAGUGAGCCAGAGCCAGAGGUACAGAGAUAAAGCAGGCAGAGCUCAGCCUGGAGCAGUGGCUCACGCCUGUAAUCCCAGCAUUUUGGGAGGCUGCCACAGGCGGAUCAUGAGGUCAGGAGUUGGAGAUCACCCUGGCCAACAUGGUGAAAUCCCUUCUCUACUAAAAAUACAAAAAUUAGCCAGGCGUGAUGGUAUGCGCCUGUAGUUCCAGCUACUUGGGAGGCUGAGGCAGGAGAAUCGCUUGAACCCAGGAGGCAGAGGUUGCAGUGAGCUAAGAUCACGCCAUUUCACUCCAGCCUGGGCAAUAGAGUGAAACUCCAUCCCCCCACCAAAAAAGGGCAGGCAGAGCUGCUGCCCCCAUGGAGCUUCUGAGGAGAUGACAACCCCAUUAAAUGGAUAGACACGGACAGAUGAGGGAAGCAAAACUGCCAAGCCCAGAAGGGGACCGUCCCUAGGAGAGUUCAGGUAGGGCUUCUUAGGACUGGGUGCCUGACCUAUGACUUGAAAAAUGAACAGACGUUUGGUGGCUGAAGAGGGGAGGAUAGGGCAUCUGAGGCAAUGGGAACAGCAUGUGCAAAGGCAGGAAUAUGUGCUCACAGGCCCUGCAGCCAGCUCAACACCAAUAAGGCAAAUCCGGAGUGGAAGGAAGGGAAGGCAGCCUUGAAUGCCAUGCCAAGGAUUUUCAUAGAGAGGAGCUGGAGCCCUGGCAGGACCUGGUGAUUCCUUGUUUUGUCAUUUGUGAAAUGCAUUUCAGCUCGUGGCGUUCAUACGCCUUCCUAGCCAUCAGCUCCCAGUCUCCUGAGAAUCCUGAGCUUCACCAGGAUUUUUUGAGGGGGAGUCUUGCUCUGUUGCCAGGCUGGGGUGCAGUGGUGCGAUCUCGGCUCACUGCAAUCUCUGUUUCCCAGUUUCAAGUGGUUCCCCUGCCUCAGCCUCCCAAGUAGCUGGGAUUACAGGUGUGAGCCACCACGCCAGGCUAAUUUUGUAUUUUUAGUAGAGAUGGGGUUUGUCCAUGUUGGUCAUGCUGGUCUCAAACUCCUGACCUCAGGUGAUCUGCCUGCCUCAGCCUCCGAAAGUGCUGGGAUUACAAGUGUGAGCCACCGCGCCCAGCUGAGGUUGGUCCAUCUUACAGAGGGAGAGAGACUGGUGUUCAAAACCAUGUGCCAUCCUCCCAAGGAGCUGUCACCAGGCUGUGGGACUCUGGCCUCCAGGACCUUCCCUGCCUACCAUCUUCAGAUGAAGAAUGUUCUGGGCUUCAAGGCGGCACCAAAGUACCACUGAACCAGGGGAAGGGUAGAAACACCAAACAGAACCUCGGCACAUCUCUCCCUUCCACCUAAGGAGGUCACGACAAAGACCCAGGCACUCCGUGAAUGUUUAUUUUGGUGGGGUCUCAGCAAAUGGAGCCAUGUUUCUGGUGGAUGAGCUGAACCAGGAAGAGAAGUCUGAAAAAGGCCACCCUAUGGUGGGUCCAGAGUGAGGCAGCAAAAAGGGAAGAGGAAAUUCUGCUCAGGCCUCCGUAGGUCCUGCCUUCUGUGGUCUGCCUGUGCUUCAUGCUGGAACAACAGCUUUAAAAGUAUGAGAUUGGGCGGGGCGCAGUGGCUCAUACCUGUAAUCCCAGAACUUUGGGAGGCUGAGAUGUGCGGAUAGCUUGAGCUCAGGAGUUCGAGACCAGCCUGGGCAACAGGGUGAAACCUGGUCUUUAAAAAUACAAAAAUUAUCCAGUUGCCUGACCAUUUGCAGAAAAAAUAAAAAUACGAAAAUUAGGCUGGGUCAACAGAGUGAAACUGUGUCUCUACUAAAAAUAUAAAAAUUAGCUGGGUGUGGUGGAGGAUACCUGUAAUCCCAGCUACUCGGGAGGCUGAGGCAAGAGAAUGACUUGAACCUGGGAGGCAGAGGUUGCAGUGAGCCAAGAUCGUGUCACUGCACUCCAGCCUGGGUAACAUAGUGAGGCCCUGUCUCAAAAAAAAAAAAAGUAUGGGGUUGGGAGGCCAGGUACAGUGUCUUACACCUGUAAUUUCAGCACUUGGGGAGGCUGAGGUCGGAGGAUCAUUUGAACCAAGGAGUUUAAGACCAGCCCUGGCAACAGAAUGAGACCUUGUUCUAUGAAAAAAAAUUUUUUUUUAAUGAGACUGGCAUGGUGGUAUGUGGCUGUAGUCCCAGCUACUUGGGAGGCUGAGGUGGAUCGCUUGAGCCUGGGAGGUUGAAGCGGCAGUGAGCCCUGAUCGUGCUACUGCAUUCCAGCCUGGGCGAAAAGGCAAGAUCCUGUCUCAAAAGAAAGAAGUACGAGGUUGGAGUCUGUUGCUGUUUCACGGCUCUUGCCAGAGUCUUUAGAAUCAGAGCCAUAAAGUGCAGCACUCUGAGCUGUUACUGGCAGCUGGUUCAGAGAGGAACGGAAGUUCCCUGGAAGAAGUGUUUCUGAGUUUGAGGGGCUCCAUGAGCAGGCUGUUUGUACUUUUUUUUUUUUUUUUUUGAGAUGGAUUCUCUCUCUGUCGCCCAGGCUGGAGUGCAGUGGCACAAUCUCAGCUCACUGCAAUCUCUGCCUCCUGGGUUCAAGCGAUUCUCCUGCCUCCGCCUCCCAAGUAGCUGGGAUUACAGGUGCCCACCACCACACCCGGCUAAUUUUUGUAUUUUUGGUAGAGAUAGGGUUUCUCCAUGUCGGCCAGGCUGGUCUAGAAUUCCUGACCUCAGGUGAUCCACCCACCUCAACCUCCCAAAGUGCUGGGAUUACAGGUGUGAGCCACUGCACCCAGCCAAUUUGUUAUCUAAUUUGAGGUGAGUGUGUUUCCUUACUCUGUGAGAGCUGAAGGCCUUAGAGUGAAUUUCCCCGGAACUGGGGUAUAGGAGCCUCAGUGAAGCCACAGCCCAAACAUGACCCAGUGGGCUGUUCCUCCCUAAUGGGGAGGAUGGGGAGGACAAUGGUGGAACCAUCCGGUGCAGGGAGGCAAGGCAUUUGUGUGUUGUCUUUCGAAUGGAUGCGUUUCGCAUACGAACUCCAGCUUGCAUCAUGAGCAUUGCUCCUGAGAACUCGCCUUCCUUUUUCUCCCCAUGUGGAAAUGAGAGAAAGGAGCGAGGGACUCAAGAAGAUUCUGAGACCCCAACGGAGACCCGGCUUGUCUGGUGCUGAAGCAACAGCGUCUCUUCAGGGUCACCUGUUCUGGAGGGUUGGUGUGGCUGCACCAAGCAUGACAAAGGAAACCUGUCUCCUUGGGAAGCUUAGACGGGCUCUUUGACCUCCAGAGAGAAUUAAAGGACCAAAGCCAUCAAGCCUAGCAAAUCCAAUGAAGGCUGUGUUUUGAAUUCAAAUGACCACAAAUGCUUAUAUGACUCUAAGAGAUUCCAAAGGCAUCUAAGGGAAAAAAGAUUAAGAUCAAGCCGAAACUCCCAAUGCUUUGAUGUGAUAAGCCUUUAAGAAAAAUUUUCCAGACUUGGGACAAUGCUGGGACAGAGUAGAUGCUCAAUAAAUAUACAUCGAUGAGGAAAUGGGAGAAAAUCAAAGCGCAAUCCUACAGCCACCCGCUCACAAGCUCCAGUCUGUCCCUGACACACUAUAUCGUUUGAAAAUUUUCAUCUUCAGAGGAUGAAUGGUUUUCUAUUUGGAAAAGGUGCCAGGUGAGAGGAAAAAAUUUCAUUACUCAGUAAAAUUAUAAAACCUUGACUAAAUGGUAAAUAAUCGAUUUCAAAGAGAGUAGAAUUAAAUGUAUAGGAGUGAUUGUGUAAACAAAUGGUUAAUAAAAGUGU